UGUUUGCAUUCCGCGCUAUGAAAUAUGGUAACAUUCAUCAUGUCAUCCCCUUAGAGGUUAUUUUAAUUUUUAUUACUCGUUAUUUGAAUUCGAAUAUACUUGUUAUUUGAAUACCUUGCAACUGCCAACUGUUCUAGUGAAUACAAGAAAAAGGUUUAUCAAACAGGAGGCUUUCCAGCAAUUGUGUAGCUAAUAUCCCGAUGGAGUCUUUGAUGAUGCGGGGAAGAGAACAAGGAUGCAGCAAGCACUGAGUGAGAGGUGGAAAACGGAUGUUACACUCCUUUUCUUAUCUCUCAGUGUAAGAGGGAUAGUGUUGUAUACGACCAUCGUUGUGAAAAAAAAAACCCAUUUUUAAGCCAAAGUAAGGCCAAUCCGUACACUUGAUUGGGAGUUGCCAACCCCCGGCCUUUCUAAAACUAUCUCAGUCACAUCAAGAAAUGUGAUGGUUUUGUGAAAGAAAAGAAGAUUCCUCUAUAUCGGCGGCAUCUUACAAUAUUAUUACUGGACCAAUAGAACGAUAAUGGGUAGCUUUCACAAGCCAAUUGAAUAUUUGGUCAAUGACUGGCCCCAUUUCUUUAUAUUUCAGCGUUGUUGAGAACGAGAUUCGUACAAGAUAACUGAACUAAUACGCAUACAGAGACCGCACGUGAGUCAGCUCAUAUCACCACGAUUGUUCAUGUGCGAAGGCAAAUUAUGCAGGAAAAAAUGGAAUAAUCAUUUUUUCGCGUUAUACAAGAAAUUCAAUAAUUAAUCUAAAAUUUUUAGUAUUAUAAAAAUGAUACAAUAAAGCAUUUAGAUCCUUACGUCUUGACAUUUGAAUGUAUGGUUGUAAGAAGCAUUGAAAGAAAUGGUAUAUUACAAAUGGAAAUGAAUAA